rnacentral:rRNA from 1 species
CCUACGGGGGGCAGCAGUGGGGAAUAUUGCACAAUGGGCGAAACCCUGAUCCAGCGAAGCCGCGUGAGUGAAGAAGUAACUCGUUAUGUUAAGCUCUAUCUGCAGGGAAGAAAAUGCCGGUACCUGAGUCAGAAGCCCCGGCUAACUACGUGCCAGCAGCCGCGGUACUACGUAGGAGGCAAGCGUUAUCCGGAUUUACUGGGUGUAAAGGGAGCGUAGACGGCAGUGCAGGUCUGGAGUGAAAGGCGGGGGCUCAACCCCCGGACUGCUCUGGAAACUGUACGGCUGGAGUGCAGGAGAGGUAAGUGGAAUUCCUAGUGUAGCGGUGAAAUGCGUAGAUAUUAGGAGGAACACCAGUUGCGAAGGCGGCUUACUGGACUGUAACUGACGUUGAGGCUCGAAAGCGUGGGGAGCAAACAGGAUUAGAUACCCUAGUAGUC